GACAGAGGGUGCAAACGUUGUUCGGAAUUACUGGGCGUAAAGCGCGUGUAGGCGGCCCUGCAAGUCGGGUGUGAAAUCCCACGGCUCAACCGUGGAAGUGCAUUCGAUACUGCAGGGCUAGAGUCCUGGAGAGGAAGGUGGAAUGCUUGGUGUAGAGGUGAAAUGCGUAGAUAUCAAGCGGAACACCGGUGGCGAAGGCGGCUUUCUGGACAGUGACUGACGCUGAGGAGCGAAAGCGUGGGGAGCAAACAGG
rnacentral:rRNA from 1 species